GAUCAGUUGGUGCUAGUCGCUGCACUUAAGCAUAUCAAUAAGCCGGAGGAA
rnacentral:rRNA from 1 species